GGACCGACGGGAGCUUGCUCCCUUAGGUCAGCGGCGGACGGGUGAGUAACACGUGGGUAACCUGCCUGUAAGACUGGGAUAACUCCGGGAAACCGGGGCUAAUACCGGAUGCUUGAUUGAACCGCAUGGUUCAAUCAUAAAAGGUGGCUUUCAGCUACCACUUACAGAUGGACCCGCGGCGCAUUAGCUAGUUGGUGAGGUAACGGCUCACCAAGGCGACGAUGCGUAGCCGACCUGAGAGGGUGAUCGGCCACACUGGGACUGAGACACGGCCCAGACUCCUACGGGAGGCAGCAGUAGGGAAUCUUCCGCAAUGGACGAAAGUCUGACGGAGCAACGCCGCGUGAGUGAUGAAGGUUUUCGGAUCGUAAAACUCUGUUGUUAGGGAAGAACAAGUACCGUUCGAAUAGGGCGGCACCUUGACGGUACCUAACCAGAAAGCCACGGCUAACUACGUGCCAGCAGCCGCGGUAAUACGUAGGUGGCAAGCGUUGUCCGGAAUUAUUGGGCGUAAAGCGCGCGCAGGCGGUUUCUUAAGUCUGAUGUGAAAGCCCCCGGCUCAACCGGGGAGGGUCAUUGGAAACUGGGGAACUUGAGUGCAGAAGAGGAGAGUGGAAUUCCACGUGUAGCGGUGAAAUGCGUAGAGAUGUGGAGGAACACCAGUGGCGAAGGCGACUCUCUGGUCUGUAACUGACGCUGAGGCGCGAAAGCG
rnacentral:rRNA from 1 species